rnacentral:rRNA from 1 species
CCUACGGGUGGCAGCAGUGAGGAAUAUUGGUCAAUGGCCGGAAGGCUGAACCAGCCAUGCCGCGUGAAGGUCAGUGCCCUAUGGGCGUUAAACUUCUUUUGUGCGGGAGCAAUAAUGGUCACGUGUGGCCAGACGAGAGUACCGUACGAAUAAGCAUCGGCUAACUCCGUGCCAGCAGCCGCGGUAAUACGGGGGAUGCAAGCGUUAUACGGGUUUAUUGGGUUUAAAGGGUGCGUAGGCUGUGAGGUAAGUCAGCGGUGAAAUGCCCCGGCUCAACGGGGUGAAGUGCCAUUGAUACUGCCUUGCUUGAAUGCGCAUGCCGUGGGAGGAAUGUGUGGUGUAGCGGUGAAAUGCAUAGAUAUCACACAGAACACCGAUUGCGAAGGCAUCUCACGAAUCCGCGAUUGACGCUGAUGCACGAAAGCGUGGGUAUCAAACAGGAUUAGAUACCCUGGUAGUC